UUAUUUGUUUUGUUCUAAGAACUAUUUUUCCUUAUGUUUUGGUUGUGUUUUGUGUUUUUUUUCCCGAAGUUAUAUGUCGUGAUAUGGCUAGUCUAUUUCUCUUAUAGUGGUUUCUUACCUUUGUCUCUUUUGAGGCAAAUAUGGAGAGAUAUAACACAUUAUAUUCGAUUAUGCUUAUUAUUUUGCUAUAUUUGUGUUUCUUGUUAUCUGUUGUGAC
rnacentral:lncRNA from 1 species